rnacentral:rRNA from 1 species
UACGAAGGUGGCAAGCGUUGUUCGGAUUCACUGGGCGUACAGGGAGCGUAGGCGGUUGGGUAAGCCCUCCGUGAAAUCUCCGGGCCUAACCCGGAAAGUGCAGAGGGGACUGCUCAGCUAGAGGAUGGGAGAGGAGCGCGGAAUUCCCGGUGUAGCGGUGAAAUGCGUAGAGAUCGGGAGGAAUACCGGUGGCGAAGGCGACUUUCUGGACGAAUACUGACGCUGAGGCGCGAAAGCGUGGGGAGCAAACAGGAUUAGAUACCCCGGUAGU